UCCGUGGUAUUAAACGUAUUU
rnacentral:piRNA from 1 species